ACACCUCAACUCUCAUGGUUUGCCGUGAUGAGCUUGGACUCUGGGGGAUUUGCUGGCCUGCGGUUGGCUCCCCUCAAAUGAAUUAGCUUUCCAGUGUUUGGUGGCAUCACGGGUGUGAUAAAUAUCUACGCUUGUGGUUUCCUGCCAGGUAACCUUUGGUAACGGGGGUUCGCUGGGACUCAUAAACGUCUCUCCUCAGUGAAGACAGCUUUGUGAAC
rnacentral:misc_RNA from 1 species